rnacentral:rRNA from 1 species
GACAGAGGGUGCAACCGUUGCUCGGAAUUACUGGGCGUAAAGCGCGUGUAGGUGGAUUGGUGUGUCAGAUGUGAAAGCCCUGGGCUCAACCCAGGAACUGCACCUGAAACUACCAGUCUUGAGUGGUGGAGAGGGAAGUGGAAUUCCUGGUGUAGAGGUGAAAUUCGUAGAUAUCAGGAGGAACACCAGUGGCGAAGGCGGCUUCCUGGACACCAACUGACGCUGAGACGCGAAAGCGUGGGGAGCAAACAGG